CUGUCUACCCCUCUCCUCUGUUUCUGGCUGAGUUUCCAGCUUAUGAGGUAGAGAUGGUGGAGAAACCAUGUCAAGAAAGAGGGACCCUAAGAAUGAGCCUCCACAAGCAAAGAGAAGCCUUGAUAACAUUAACCUGAUGCCUAGGGUCUCAGAAGAAACCAGUUUUGGAUAGGGCACAAGCUGUGUUGGCAAAAGCUGGUAAAACACUGCUAACAGGCAGAGAAACCAUACAUUCA
rnacentral:lncRNA from 1 species